rnacentral:rRNA from 1 species
CUACGGGCGGCAGCAGUGGGGAAUAUUGCACAAUGGACGAAAGUCUGAUGCAGCAACGCCGCGUGGAGGAUGACACAUUUCGGUGCGUAAACUCCUUUUAUAUAAGAAGAUAAUGACGGUAUUAUAUGAAUAAGCACCGGCUAACUCCGUGCCAGCAGCCGCGGUAAUACGGGGGGUGCAAGCGUUACUCGGAAUCACUGGGCGUAAAGCGCAUGUAGGCGGACUUGUAAGUUGGAAGUGAAAUCCUAUGGCUCAACCAUAGAACUGCUUCCAAAACUGCUUGUCUAGAAUAUGGGAGAGGUAGAUGGAAUUUCUGGUGUAGGGGUAAAAUCCGUAGAGAUCAGAAGGAAUACCGAUUGCGAAGGCGAUCUACUGGAACAUUAUUGACGCUCAGAUGCGAAAGCGUGGGGAGCAAACAGGAUUAGAUACCCGCGUAGUC